GACGAACGCUGGCGGCGUGCUUAACACAUGCAAGUCGAACGGAAAGGCCCUGCUUUUGUGGGGUGCUCGAGUGGCGAACGGGUGAGUAACACGUGAGUAACCUGCCCUUGACUUUGGGAUAACUUCAGGAAACUGGGGCUAAUACCGGAUAGGAGCUCCUGCUGCAUGGUGGGGGUUGGAAAGUUUCGGCGGUUGGGGAUGGACUCGCGGCUUAUCAGCUUGUUGGUGGGGUAGUGGCUUACCAAGGCUUUGACGGGUAGCCGGCCUGAGAGGGUGACCGGCCACAUUGGGACUGAGAUACGGCCCAGACUCCUACGGGAGGCAGCAGUGGGGAAUAUUGCACAAUGGGCGGAAGCCUGAUGCAGCAACGCCGCGUGCGGGAUGACGGCCUUCGGGUUGUAAACCGCUUUCGCCUGUGAUGAAGCGUGAGUGACGGUAAUGGGUAAAGAAGCACCGGCUAACUACGUG
rnacentral:rRNA from 1 species